ACGCACCAAGCGUACGCAUCGGUUGCCCUGCCCUGCCCGCACCCACCUGGCAACGGCUCACUCCGUUUUGUUAGCC
rnacentral:sRNA from 1 species